rnacentral:rRNA from 1 species
GUGAGGAAUAUUGGACAAUGGGCGCAAGCCUGAUCCAGCCAUGCCGCGUGCAGGAAGACGCAUCUAUGGUGUGUAAACUGCUUUUGUACGGGAAGAAACACUCCCUCGUGAGGGAGCUUGACGGUACCGUAAGAAUAAGGAUCGGCUAACUCCGUGCCAGCAGCCGCGGUAAUACGGAGGAUCCAAGCGUUAUCCGGAAUCAUUGGGUUUAAAGGGUCCGUAGGCGGUUUAAUAAGUCAGUGGUGAAAGCCCAUCGCUCAACGAUGGAACGGCCAUUGAUACUGUUAGACUUGAAUUACAAGGAAGUAACUAGAAUAUGUAGUGUAGCGGUGAAAUGCUUAGAUAUUACAUGGAAUACCAAUUGCGAAGGCAGGUUACUAAACCACUACUGACGCUCAUGCACGAAGGCGUGGGGAUCAAACAGGAUUAGAUACCCUAGUAGUCC